rnacentral:rRNA from 1 species
UGGGGGAUAUUGCACAAUGGGCGAAAGCCUGAUGCAGCGACGCCGCGUGGGGGAUGAAGGCUUUCGGGUUGUAAACCUCUUUCGCUAUCGAACAAGGCCCGCUUAGGGUGGGUUGAGGGUAGGUGGAGAAGAAGCGCCGGCUAACUACGUGCCAGCAGCCGCGGUAAUACGUAGGGCGCGAGCGUUGUCCGGAAUUAUUGGGCGUAAAGGGCUUGUAGGCGGCUUGUUGCGCCUGCUGUGAAAACGCGGGGCUUAACUUCGCGCGUGCAGUGGGUACGGGCAGGCUUGAGUGUGGUAGGGGUGACUGGAAUUCCAGGUGUAGCGGUGGAAUGCGCAGAUAUCUGGAGGAACACCGAUGGCGAAGGCAGGUAACUGGGCCAUUACUGACGCUGAGGAGCGAAAGCAUGGGUAGCGAAGAGG